rnacentral:rRNA from 1 species
GAGGCUAAUACUGCAUAAGCCGGAAACGGGAAAGGUGGCCUCUUUGCUACCGCCGAAGGAUGAGUCUGCGGCCUAUUAGUUAGUUGGUAGGGUAAAGGCCUACCAAGACGAAGAUGGGUAGCCGGCCUGAGAGGGUGUACGGCCACAAUGGAACUGACACACGGUCCAUACUCCUACGGGAGGCAGCAGUGGGGAAUAUUGCACAAUGGGCGAAAGCCUGAUGCAGCGACGCCGCGUGAGGGAAGAAGGUUUUCGGAUUGUAAACCUCUGUUAAGUGGGAAAAAAUCUCGAUGGUUAAUACCCGUCGAGGAUGAUGGUACCACUAGAGAAAGUACCGGCAAACUUCGUGCCAGCAGCCGCGGUAAUACGAAGGGUACGAGCGUUAUUCGGAGUUACUGGGCGUAAAGAGCGUGUAGGCGGUAUGUUAAGUUGGUUGUUAAAUUUCCCGGCCUAACCGGGGACCUGCAACCGAAACUGGCAAACUAGAGUACAAGAGAGAGAAGUAGAAUUCCCGGAGUAGCGGUAAAAUGCGUAGAUCUCGGGAGGAAUACCGAUGGCGAAGGCAGCUUCUUGGCUUGUAACUGACGCUAAAGCGCGAAAGCGUGGGGAGCAAACAGGAUUAGAUACCCUGGUAGUCCACGCCGUAAACGAUGAUCACUGGACGUGGGUUUGACGUUGUCAGAUCUGUGUCGAAGCUAACGCGUUAAGUGAUCCGCCUGGGAAGUACGGUCGCAAGAUUAAAACUCAAAGGAAUUGACGGGGGUCCGCACAAGCGGUGGAACAUGUGGUUUAAUUCGACACUACGCGAGGAACCUUACCUGGGCUUGACAUGUAACUGCUACUGGUGGAAACACUGGGUUUGGUAGAAAUACCGACGGUUACACAGGUGCUGCAUGGCUGUCGUCAGCUCGUGUCGUGAGAUGUUGGGUUAAGUCCUUUAACGAGCGCAACCCCUACCGUUAGUUGCUACAUUUAGUUGAGCACUCUAAUGGGACCGCCUCGGAAACGGGGAGGAAGGUGGGGAUGACGUCAAGUCCUCAUGGCCCUUAUGCCCAGGGCUACACACGUGUUACAAUGGCGAGUACAAAGAGAAGCAAAGCCGCGAGGUGGAGCAAAUCUCACAAAGCUCGUCUAAGUUGGGAUCGAAGUCUGCAACCCGACUUCGUGAACCUGAAAUCGCUAGUAAUCGCGUAUCAGAACGGCGCGGUGAAUGCGUUCUCGGACCUUGUACACACCGCCCGUCACACCACGAAAGCUGUCCGCACCCGAAAUUGCCUUAGCUAACCUGAAAGGGAGGCGGGUCAUGAAGGUGAGGAGAGUGAUUGGGGUGAAGUCGUAACAAGGUA